rnacentral:rRNA from 1 species
UACCCGCAGCACAAGUGGUGGUCAUUAUUAUUGGGCCUAAAGCGUCCGUAGCUGGCUUGUUAGAUGCCUGGGUAAAUCGAUGCGCUUAACGCAUCGAAUUCCGGGUAGACCGGCAAGCUCGAGACCGGGAGAGGUGUAGGGUACUCGGGGGGUAGGGGUAAAAUCUUGUAAUCCUCCGGGGACGACCAGUGGCGAAGGCGCUACACUAGAACGGCUCUGACAGUGAGGGACGAAGCCCUGGGGCGCAAACCGG